rnacentral:rRNA from 1 species
GACGAACGCUGGCGGCGUGCUUAACACAUGCAAGUCGAACGGAAAGGCCCUGCUUUUGUGGGGUGCUCGAGUGGCGAACGGGUGAGUAACACGUGAGUAACCUGCCCUUGACUUUGGGAUAACUUCAGGAAACUGGGGCUAAUACCGGAUAGGAGCUCCUGCUGCAUGGUGGGGGUUGGAAAGUUUCGGCGGUUGGGGAUGGACUCGCGGCUUAUCAGCUUGUUGGUGGGGUAGUGGCUUACCAAGGCUUUGACGGGUAGCCGGCCUGAGAGGGGGACCGGCCACAUUGGGACUGAGAGACGGCCCAGACUCCUACGGGAGGCAACAGUGGGGAAUAUUGCACAAUGGGCGGAAGCCUGAUGAAGAAACGCCGCGUGCGGGAUGACGGCCUUCGGGUUGUAAACCGCUUUCGCCUGUGACGAAGCGUGAGUGACGGUAAUGGGUAAAGAAGCACCGGCUAACUACGUG